GGGGACGUGGCGGAAUGGUAGACGCAGCGGACUUAAAAUCCGCAUCCGCGAGGAGUGUGGGUUCGAGUCCCACCGUCCCUACCA
rnacentral:tRNA from 1 species